rnacentral:rRNA from 1 species
AGCGCAGGUGGUUUAUUAAGUCUGGUGUAAAAGGCAGUGGCUCAACCAUUGUAUGCAUUGGAAACUGGUAGACUUGAGUGCAGGAGAGGAGAGUGGAAUUCCAUGUGUAGCGGUGAAAUGCGUAGAUAUAUGGAGGAACACCGGCGGCGAAAGCGGCUCUCUGGCCUGUAACUGACACUGAGGCUCGAAAGCUGGGAGCAAACA